rnacentral:rRNA from 1 species
GACGAACGCUGGCGGCGUGCUUAACACAUGCAAGUCGAACGGAAAGGCCCUGCUUUUGUGGGGUGCUCGAGUGGCGAACGGGUGAGUAACACGUGAGUAACCUGCCCUUGACUUUGGGAUAACUUCAGGAAACUGGGGCUAAUACCGGAUAGGAGCUCCUGCUGCAUGGUGGGGGUUGGAAAGUUUCGGCGGUGGGGGAUGGACUCGCGGCUUAUCAGCUUGUUGGUGGGGUAGUGGCUUACCAAGGCUUUGACGGGUAGCCGGCCUGGGAGGGUGACCGGCCACAUUGGGACUGGGAUACGGCCCAGACUCCUACGGGAGGCAGCAGUGGGGAAUAUUGCACAAUGGGCGGAAGCCUGAUGCAGCAACGCCGCGUGCGGGAUGACGGCCUUCGGGUUGUAAACCGCUUUCGCCUGUGACGAAGCGUGAGUGACGGUAAUGGGUAAAGAAGCACCGGCUAACUACGUG